UGUAAAAAUUCCACAGAGUUCCAGAGAUGGAGGUGGCUUUGUGUGUUGUCACCUCAUCAGGCAGGGUAGGCAGCCUGCACACCACACAUCACAGAGGAGGCCCAGUCCAGCCUCCUGUGGGGAGGUGCUCACUGCACCUCUGACCAGCAAAGGGAGCUGAGUGAGAAGAGUUCUGUUGGAGGAGCUGCUUCUGCACCGGUGCCUCUGCAAGGACUGUUAUGUGAGCUGACUGUCCUCCCCUGGCGACUGCGCGGCGCCGGCAUCCGUGGGGCAGUGCCAUGCAUGUGUUUUAUUUAGUUUGAGGACCACCUCAGCCAUGCUACAUACAGAAGAUAAGAGCUUAGUGAAACAGAGCAGCUUGGGUAAAGGUUCUCUUAAUAACCUGAAAAUGACACAGAAAUAAAAGCUGGAUUUCA